CGUAACACGUAUGUAACCUACCUUUACCAGGGGGAUAGCCUCUCGAAAGAGAGAUUAAGACCGCAUAAUAUCAUUUAAUAGCAUUAUUGAAUGAUCAAAUAUUUAUAGGGUAAAGAUGGGCACGCGGAACAUUAGCUAGUUGGAAGGGUAACGGCCUCCCAAGGCUAAGACGGGUAGCUGGUCUGAGAGGAUGAUCAGCCACACUGGAACUGAGACACGGUCCAG
rnacentral:rRNA from 1 species